AAAUAAAUAAUAAAGUCAUCGGCUCAAACAAGGUCGUCUGAGACUUCAUAGAAUUAAUAUAAAACCCUAUACCCCAAUGUCACAUCCUAUCAGAGCGUUGUGUCUCGAUGUCCUUUAGCACAAUAUUCCUUAACGCAGUUCACCUAGUCAUCUGCUCCCCCGAACACAAAGUUCAAGAUCAUCACAGGAUCCAAACACAAACAACAAACCAAGAGUGAGUUAUCACAUUCCUAACUAAUAGAGAAACAAGACAACUAGAUAUACAUAUCAUAUAAACCAAAUAAAACUUACUUACACGUAAUUCAUGUAAUUCCACCACUUUUUCAUUCAGGGUUCACUUUUCAUCCAUCAAUCACACUUUUCAAUCAUCAAUCACAUUACACAAGAAUCACACACUCUGAUCAAAACAUAAUAACACCUCAAUUUCAUAAUAAACAAUUAGCAAGUGCAUGGGACAGUUAUGCUAAGACUCAAGCCUAUAUGCAAUGUGGUACCAUGUCAGUGAAAAACCACCCUGGGGCGCUUAGAAGUACAUAACAAGACACACCACACAAUGGGUUUGUCAGGUCACUCUCACUAAGUAAGAUCAUAGGGAGACCAGUCAGGAUCACGAUGUUUUGCGAGAAUGCUCCAACCAUAUGGGAUCAACAUAAGCUUAAAGGAGCACUCAAACCCGGUGACCCCCAAGGCCUACACUCCGAAGAGUCCGUUAGGGCCUCUCCCUCCUGAUUCAGGUCCAACCCCUAAAAUCAUUUUAUCACACAGACACUGUUUGUGAAUUAUACAAUACCCACGACCUCACACUCGUGUUUUAAACACGUACAACAUAUUGCGCUACAAUUUAACACUGGUUCCUAAAUAGGAAACCUACACUUUCUCUUUAACACUGGUUCCUAAAUAUGAAACCUACGCUUUCUCUUUAACACUGCGCAUUUACACUUUUCUCAAGAUAACACUGGUCGGGUUAUUAUACAAUUCACAGCUUACAACACAAAUAAUGUCACAUCAAGAGUUAAUCACACACUUAUUUAUAACCAAAACUCAUUCAUAAUUUCACAUCUCAUAAUGUCACAAUCCACCAUCACAUAUUUCAUUUAUAAGCACUACUCAUGAAUUAUACAAUACCCCCGAUCUCACACUCGUGUUUCAAACACGUUUAACACAUUGUGCUACAAUUUAACACUAGUUCCUGAAUAUGAAACCUACAUUUUCUCUUAAACACUACGCAUCAACGUUUUUCUCAAGAUAACACUGAUCGGGUUAUUGUAUAAUUCAUAGCUCACAACAUAAUUAUUGUCACAUCAAGUGUCAAACACACACACUUAUUCACAAUCAGAUAUCAUGCUCACAAUUUAACAUCUCAUAAUAUCACAUCAAUCAUCUCAUUUUUACAUGUAUCUCGCAAAUUGGCACAUUCAACUUUGUACUACUCAAUCUUCACUAUAAUAUUAUAAUACCAUUAUAAUAACUUAUUACACUUUAUAACUUAUACACAUCACACAAUAAUAAUAUUUGCAUGAUACAAAACAUAUAUAUGUAUAUGUAUAUAGUAAAUUAAACUACAUUGUUUUUAAUCAAAGAAUUUCUUUAACAAUCAAUUUAAUAUUACAUCAAAAGAAAUUACCACUAGACAUUAACCUUACAAUUUUCUUUAAUUUAUUAUUUUAGUAUUACAAUAAUUAUAUACACAUAACAUGUUGAUCAUCGUCGUAGAAAAAUUAGAACAAGAUAAUAAUUUGUAUAAAAUAAGUCAUUGAAUAAUAUUAUUUAAAAUAUAAUUUACGUUAAUAAAAAGAGCUUAAUUUUUCUAAGGGGUUCACACUCAACAGAAGAACACAUUAAUUUCAUAGCAAUUUCUCAUUGGGACAUCAACUGAUUCAUCAAACAUAUAUAAUUCACUGUAAUAAUUAAAAGGAUAAAAUAAAAAUUGCAAGAACACCCCAAAACUCAUUCCAAUUGAUAUCUCUAAGGAUCCUUACAUAUAUUCUCACUAAUCCCCAAUUGUGAAUAACUCAUCCCUUACCUCUAAGUAGACUCACGUGUCUUCAGCCAACGAUAGCAGCAUCUCUGGCGGUUCCAUGAGAUUCCUCCAGUUAUUCCUCCGACUGCUCCGAUAGAAUUCUCAAACGUCAGAGAGACGGAGAAGAGAUUGAAGCCUCCACUUGUACUGUCUUCAUGCGAUUCCUUUUUC
rnacentral:lncRNA from 1 species